rnacentral:tRNA from 1 species
GCCGGGUUGGUGGAACGGCAGACACCGAGACCUCAAAAGUCUCUGCCCGAGAGGGCGUGCGGGUUCGAAUCCCGCACCCGGCA